ensembl:lncRNA
GAUUAAUCAAAGUAGGGCUGUGAAUGCACAAGAUCAGUGGAGUUGUAGGGGAGAACACAGAGGUGGCGUUGAGCAGAGAGGACACAGCAGGGGAGGAUGCCAGAGAAAAGGGCAAUUGAAGCACUGCAGAGCAGCUGCCUCCACCGUGCUGUGGUUGAGCACCUCUGCUUUUCUGUCUCCUGGUAGCGUUUCCCAUCACACACGAGAAAUAAGACAAAAUAAGUGCCUGCAUGUUUCCAGUCUGAGGAGGUAACCUGUGUUGGAAUCACAUGCAGUCAUCUGGCUCAUUUGUGCUGAACGGAGAUGGGGAAAUUCCCACGGCAGCAGUUCAGGAUCCCAGGCUGAAGGGCCAGGCUGCAGCGGCCACGUGAACAACACCAAGAAGGAUACCAGCAGCACACGUCGCAUUUAAUUUCCCUGUGCGCCACUGGGUUUGGGUUGUGUUGUGUUCCACUGCUUUGCAUUGGGCUAGGGUUGUGUUCCACUGCUUUGGAUUCCAUUGCAUUUCAUUUUGUCACGUUGCGUUGGGUUAGAGAUGUGCUGUGUUCCACUGCUUUGCUUUGGAUUUCACUGUGUUCCAUUGUAUUGCUUUGCAUUUGGUGAGGGUUGUGUUCCCUUGCUUUGCGUUGGGUUAGGGUUGCAUUGUGUUCCAUUGCUUUGGAUUCCAUUGCAUUUCAUUUCAUUGUGUUGCAUUGGGGAAGGUUUGUGUUGCAUUCCAGUGCUUUGCUUUGGGAUAGGGUUGGAAUCCAUUGCUUUGGAUUCCAUUGCAUUCCAUUGUGUUGGGUGGGGUUAGAGUUGUGUUGUGUUCCAUUGAUUUGCUUUGGAUUCCAUUGCAUUUCAUUUCAUUGUGUUGCACUGGGUAAGGUUUGUGUUGCGUUCCAUCACCUUGAAUUGGGUUAGGGUUGUGUCGUGUUCCAUUGCUUUGCUUUGGGUUUCAUUGCUUUGCAUUGCUUUGCAUUGGGUUAGGGCUGUGUUCCAUGGCUUUGGGUUCCGUUGCACUUCACUGCAUUGCUUUGCAUUGGGUUAGGGCUGUGUUCCGUGGCUUUGGGUUCCAUUGCACUUCACCACAUUGUGUUACAUCCCAUUGUACUGCAUUUCAUUGCAUUUCAUCGGACUGCAUUGCAUUCCGUUGCAUUGCACCCCACUGAAGCAUACCAGCAAACAGAUGCAAUUAGAUGCUGCUGGCCGGGCUGGGAGGAGGGGUGAGCACGGAGCGAUGCCCAUUCUGUGGGGGUUGGCCACACUCACUUGUGCCCGUGAGAGUGGAAGUUGUGGUGCAGCAGCAGCAGGUUUCCAAUUCAGCCCAUCCCCGUGUCUGUCAGAGGAGCGAGCUCAUCGGCUGCUCGGGAUUUCUGAAGGUUCAGGUGGAGGACAAGGGCUGGGAUUGCAUGGGACGUUCCACCGCAGAACAGCCGCCGACAGCUGAGCCUCCCAUGGGGCUCAGUGUCCCAACACCGUGCUCUGGGAUUUCCAUCUUAUGGGGCUCUGUAUUAUGGCAUUCAGCAGCGAUGUCAGAGUUUGACUGCCUGACACAGACGUUUGGGUUCAUUCUAUCCAUCCAUUUGAACGCCUGCUCCCAGACCUCCAUCAUUAAGCCACUGUCUUGGUUGCAGAUGUGCUUCCCAGUCCUCAGACCCGGAGUAAUCCCUUUGUCUUCACCAAGGUGAGACCCGGGGGUGACAGUUAUACCCAGGGGACAAAACCACUGUGAACAAUGAGGUGACCGUGGUGUCCUCCAGCCACAGCACCCACAGACCCCAUGGAUCGCUGCCUGCCCCACUCCUCUCCUCCCCUGACUCUAUGGGGCACACAGCAGCAGCCAGCCAGCAUUACACAGGCUGGAAGCCAGUGCUCCAAAAUGUGAGGAGCACAGCUGGGAAGCGCAGCAGCAAAAGGGAAAACAGCAAGUCCUGGGCUGACACAUAAAGCCGGGCUUCUAGACUCUGCCAGCAGUGGACAAGCUGUAUUUUCCCCUCAGAGAAGUACUGGGUAUGUAGAUCAAGCCAGCCCUUGGCAGGGGGUUGGAGCUCAGUAAGAUUUAGGGUCCCUUCCAACCCAACCAUGCCAUAAUCCCAUGGUUCUACAGUCCUUAAGGUCCCCUCCAAUCCAACCAUGUAAUCAUUCCAUGGCUCUCUGAUCUUUGAGGUCGCUUAUAACCCAACUGUGAUCUGAUUCAACAACCUCUUUAAGGUCCCUCCAACCCAACCGUGCUGUGGUUCCAUGGUUCUACAAUCCUUAAGGUCCUUUCCAACACAACCGUGCUAUGACUCCAUGGCUCUAUGAUCUUUAAGGUCUCCUCAACCCAACCACGCCAGGACUCCAUGAUUCUGUGUCCUUUGAGGUCCCUUCCACCCAACCGAAGCCAUUCCAUGAUUCUGAUUCGAAGCUCCAGAAGAAUCAAAGUUUUCUCCAAAAUUCAUUUGUGAGAAAUGACUCCAAGAAAUUGAACCCCGGCCAGCUCCCCCUGUGGAAGUCGUUGCUCAUUUGGGGUUAAUUUAGUUACCAGUUAAAGCGAGGAGUAUUCAAUUAGAAGCAGCGCCGACGAUCCAG